AGACCACAAGACAAGAGACCCUUUUUUGUGAGGUCAAAGGUGUAAAGGGCAAACAGCAUUUGAGUGCGCUUGCUUCAUUUGGCCCAGGUCCAGGAUCUGGUGCGGUCGGUCUCGCCCAGCCAGCCCGGUAUCUGGAUAAAGCCGUGAAGAAGGAGCCGAGUCCUGCCAGGCCACUGCCAUGAGCAUGCAUUAGAGGAGCAGAGGGGCAGGCCG